ensembl:lncRNA
ACUACAGUCCCCUUUUUUGAUAAAUAUGCUUGUAAUAGUGUUAGUUUAUCUGAGCUGGUUUGGUGUCUUGUGUUAGCGUAACGGUGCAACACUCUGCCGUGUUCUGUAACCCCCCCCUCCCCUCCCCCCUUGCCCCCAACGGGAGGACAGCGACGGUAACCAGUGAUGGGAGUCCUCUAAGGUCUCCGCUGGCAGGUCAGAGGUCCGAGGUCAGGCAUCACUGCUGAGUUUCAACUAACUCUCAGUUCGUGGAGAAAAGUCAAAUAUUUUCUGCGUCCUUUCUGUUGUGUGUGUGUGUGUGUGUGUGUGUGUGUGUGUGUGUGUGUGUGUGUCACUGCCGUUUCAUACGACAGUGUGAAGGCAGAAGGUUUUUUGUUUUUUUGCAGAGCCCCAACACUGACAAAAUAAUAAAAUGUUAGUUAAUUAAGCUGCAGCUGCAUUAUGUUCUUUCGUUUCUCUAAGUUUAUUAAUUAAGAAAUAUUUUAGGUAAAUAAAAGAAGUCAUUGAUGGAGGAAAAAAAGAGACGUAAAGCUUUAUUUAAAUUUUCACUUUUGUUUAGAUUAUUUAACCAACAAUAUUAUUUAUUGUUGUAUUAAGUAAUAUUUAAUGAUGCGUUUACCACAUUCUGUCAGUUUCAGGGCUUCAUACAGCUCCGACUCAAUGCAGUUCAAAGUACAAAUGAUUGCAAAAUAGUAUUCAUUUAAUGAAGCCGUAACGCCUUAUUUUAUUUAGGCAAAAUAGUCUGUUGCACAAUUUGUGCCCAUCAACUUCUCUGAGAUCAACGAGGGUUUUCUGAGUCGUCCUCUCCUUAUUUUUUUCUCCCUCAUACAUUCAUUCAUAGACCAAGUUAAAUUGGUUUGUGGAAUCAGUGGAAUUAUUUUACAGCCCUAACAUUGUUUUUUUCCUAACCGAUAACCCGUUGAAUACCACAAAUGGUCACGAGGUUCUUCUCUCCUCCUCAAUUCGUCUUCGAUCAAAUUGCUAAAUGUAGACCCAGCAGCGUUUGACCCGCUCACAGAACGAACCGGGUCACAAUCAGACGGCUUCGUGGAGGUUUACUGAAGAAUCCGCCCACACUCCCAACAAGGCGAGUACGAUGAGGAAUAAAGUUUGGACUCUCAACCCAGAUGCUGUUUAUGUUUCUUCCUUGUUAAAUGUAAAUCACUGAACCCCCCCACGCCCCCAACCACCUCCUAAACAUUCUUGCUCUUUCGGGGGGAAUGUUUUGUUUAAUAUUUACACCAUCCAUCUACCUCACUUUUUUCCUUUUUUUUUUUUCAAUCUAUUGUCAUGUACAGAAAAGCCUGACCUCUCCUCUGUGACCACUGAGUGCUGUUAACACGGUCACAACGCGUUACUGAGCCCUAGUUUCUGCCUCACGUUGCUCUGCAUCGUUUCUAUGUAAUGCAGAGUAAUCCUCCACCUGGUCAUUCGAUGACCCUCGCUGCUGUUCUCAACGUAUUUACAGAUUCCACAAAGGCUUCUUACAGAUGGUAAAGAAACAAAUUCUCUCUGUCGCACAAUAGAAAAGAGUCUUUCUCCAAAUUGGAAUUGUAUUUUCUCAUCCAGGCAGGUAAAAAUCUUUUGUUUUACAAAAAAAAAAAUCAUUUUUUUUAACAGAAUUAUACAAAUAACAUAAUGAAAACAAAUGUAACCGAUAGUAAAACAAUUUAUUUGAUCAGGAAUGUUUAGAAGAAUCUUUUAGGAUUCUGGGAAAACAAACCGGUUUACGUGUGGCUGGACUUUAGUUAAUGCCGUUUCCAAAACACUACAAUCCUCCUCUCUGUGACUCCCAAGUGAUGUUUGAUGCACCAGAGGCACAAACUGGGACCCGCAGGGUGUCAGCUGGGAACGGAAACGCUCUUUUAAGGUCCACACAUGAAUAAACUUUGAUCUUUAGAAGGGAAAAUGCAGUGUUUUGAAGCAGGGAGUGAGUUACGAAAUAAUUACUCUCUGGUUGGAACUAAAAGACGCUCUACUACAUCUCUGAUGACACAUGGGGCAGCAGGUCGACAAUUAUUCCUCAAUGUUUUCAGAUUGAUGACUUCAUGUUGACUUAAACACUUCCUGACUUACUGUCAGUGACAAGUGCCCAUAAACUGCUUUCUAGUUAGGAAAGGUUUACACUCAACACAACAAUCUGUACCCCGCGUUCAACUGUUUUAAAUGUUCAAUCGGAAGCUGUUUGUUUCUAAUCUAAUAAUUAUACAAUCUAAUCGUUAAUGAGAGGAGUUGAUGAUUACGUCCUCUUUGUGUUUCCGGCCAAUUCUUACCAAAAUGUUGAUGUGCAUAAGAUAUUCACAGCCUUCCAGCUCCUGUGUGUUUCUAUUGAAAUGAUCUGUUCGGAUUGAAGUUUAACAUUGGGAUUUUCUUUUGUACAUGCUGUAAUAAGGUUGUAUUUCCUAUUUUUCCUGUCAUCGAUAUAUUGUGAGUAAUGGUGGGAAACAAUUGGCUGAAAGAAAGGAGUUUUUUUGUUUUUUCUACACAAGAUUUAAGAUGAAUAAAAAUGUAUGCAAAC